rnacentral:rRNA from 1 species
UACGGGGGGAGCAAGCGUUGUUCGGAUUUACUGGGCGUAAAGGGCGCGUAGGCGGUCAGCACAAGUCAGUUGUGAAAUCUCCGAGCUUAACUCGGAAAGGUCAACUGAUACUGUGCGACUAGAGUGGCGGAAGGGGCAACUGGAAUUCCAGGUGUAGCGGUGAAAUGCGUAGAUAUCUGGAGGAACACCGGUGGCGAAGGCGAC